UUCCGUUGGUGAACCAGCGGAGGGAUCAUUACCGAGUUUACAACUCCCAAACCCAAUGUGAACGUUACCAAACUGUUGCCUCGGCGGGAUCUCUGCCCCGGGUGCGUCGCAGCCCCGGACCAAGGCGCCCGCCGGAGGACCAACCAAAACUCUUUUUGUAUACCCCCUCGCGGGUUUUUUAUAAUCUGAGCCUUCUCGGCGCCUCUCGUAGGCGUUUCGAAAAUGAAUCAAAACUUUCAACAACGGAUCUCUUGGUUCUGGCAUCGAUGAAGAACGCAGCGAAAUGCGAUAAGUAAUGUGAAUUGCAGAAUUCAGUGAAUCAUCGAAUCUUUGAACGCACAUUGCGCCCGCCAGUAUUCUGGCGGGCAUGCCUGUCCGAGCGUCAUUUCAACCCUCGAACCCCUCCGGGGGGUCGGCGUUGGGGAUCGGCCCUCCCUUAGCGGGUGGCCGUCUCCGAAAUACAGUGGCGGUCUCGCCGCAGCCUCUCCUGCGCAGUAGUUUGCACACUCGCAUCGGGAGCGCGGCGCGUCCACAGCCGUUAAACACCCAACUUCUGAAAUGUUGACCUCGGAUCAGGUAGGAAUACCCGCUGAACUUAA
rnacentral:rRNA from 1 species